AUACGGAAGGUCCGGGCGUUAUCCGGAUUUAUUGGGUUUAAAGGGAGCGCAGGCGGGAUAUUAAGCGUGACGUGAAAUGUAGAUGCUCAACAUCUGAACUGCGUCGCGAACUGGUUUCCUUGAGUGCAUUCGACGUCAGCGGAAUUUGUGGGGGAGCGGUGAAAUGCUUAGAUAUCACGAAGAACUCCGAUUGCGAAGGCAGCUGACGAGACUGUAACUGACGCUAAAGCUCGAAAGUGCGGGUAUCGAACAGGAUUAGAUACCCUGGUAGUCCGCACGGUAAACGAUGGAUGCCCGCUGUUUGCGAUAUAUUGUAAGCGGCCAAGCGAAAGCGUUAAGCAUCCCACCUGGGGAGUACGCCGGCAACGGUGAAACUCAAAUGAAUUGACGGGG
rnacentral:rRNA from 1 species